rnacentral:rRNA from 1 species
UACGUAGGGGGCGAGCGUUGUCCGGAAUGACUGGGCGUAAAGGGUACGUAGGCGGCCGUGUAAGUCAGGUGUGAAAGGCUAGGGCUCAACCCUAGUGAGCACUUGAAACUGCAUGGCUUGAGUCGAGGAGAGGAAAGUGGAAUUCCUGGUGUAGCGGUGAAAUGCGUAGAUAUCAGGAGGAAUACCAGUGGCGAAGGCGACUUUUUGGCCUUAGACUGACGCUGAGGUACGAAAGCGUGGGGAGCAAACAGGAUUAGAUACCCGGGUAGUCCACGCCGUAAACGAUGAGUGCUAGGUGUCGGGACGUAAGUUUCGGUGCCGAAGUUAACACAUUAAGCACUCCGCCUGGGGAGUACGGUCGCAAGACUGAA